CAGGCUUUCAAUAAAAAUAAAACGUUUUCUCUGCUACUCUUCCUUCCAGAAAACUCUUCUCUUCCUUCAGUCUGGCGGUUUUGGCCAAAGGUUUCCCACCGCUCUCCGAACCAUCACAGGAACUUCCUUCUCCAGGUAAAAGCAUUCAUUUCUUCUCAGGGCCUCCUUUGCUAUAGUGUGUGCGUAAAUGUUUUUUGCCUUUUGGAUGAAACUGAACUCAAUCUCCUGAAAACUGUUGCAAUGAGUCUGAAUAUCUCUGAUAAUUGCUCUAAUGACCGAUUUGUCUGUAUUUUUGCUUUUACAUUUCUUUAUAAUGGUUCUCGAAUCCCCCAUAACAUCUAUUCUGUUAACUCCCAGUCUAAUCCCUAGUUUUAUUGCAUGUAAUCCUGCAUAUGCCUCUGCUGUAAAUGGAUUUGCUACGUUUGAAUGAGUAACUGCUUGUGUUGCAAGUAGUACCCCUUCCUCGUUCCAUGCUAUUAAACCCGAUGCCGAUCUGAAAUCCUGACUGUUGAAGGCUGCAUCAAAAUGAAUAAUGGUCCUACCGCUUCUGGACACCUGUUGAGAAAACUCAUGAGACAAAAGAGUAAUUUUUCCUUCCUUUGUAACUGCAAGUUCUGUAAUAUAAUCGCUGAUCUUCCUAACGAUUUCUGAUCCUGACAUAUUCUUUCUUUCAUAAACGAGCUGGUUUCUACUGAACCAUAUGAACCAGAGGCUACAAUAGAAGAGUCGAAGUUGUUCAUCAGUUCCUCUAGCAAAGACCCAUGUAAGCCAACCCCAUAUAUUAUCAUUAUUCUGACUCAGUAGCCAUGAAAGAUUCAACUGAUUCCAAACUUCUAUCGAUGUAGGGCAUUUUUGGAAGAUAUGGUAGCUAUUCUCUUCAUCACUUCCGCAUCUAGGACACUGGGAAUUCCUAACAACCCUUUUGAUUUUGAGGUUGUUAAAAGUUGGGAUAAAGUUCCAAGAGAUCCUCCAUACUGUCAUUUGAAUUUUUGAGGGAAUAUGUAAUUUCCAUAAUUUAGUAUAGAAAUUUUUUUCCUCGGUAUGUAACAUUAAUCCAUUAGGAUCAAGGUUAGUCUGCUGUAAUAGUUUAUAAGCACUCCUUACGGAGAACUCCCCUGUCGGUUCUCCUCUCCAUGCUUGAACGUCCUCUUAUACUGUCUCCGCCAGUGGGAUCUGUAAAAUUUUCUCCGUAAUGACCAGUUGGAAGGUAUUUCUAAUCAACUCUAUUUUCCAACUCCUACUAUUUGAAUCAAUUAAAUCAGAGACUAAUUUAAUAUUAUCAUUUCCAUCCUGAAUCGGUAUUCUGUCUGCUUCGAUCCCUGGUAUCCACGAAUCAGUCCAGAUGGAAAUUUGAUCACCUCUCCCCACCCUCCAUCCACGUCCUCUUUCAAGGAGUCCUCUCGCAGCCCAAAUGCUCUUUCAGGUAAAUGAAGGUAAAUUCCCCAACCGAGCUUCGUAGAAAUGAGAAUUAGGAAAAUAUUUUGCUUUCAAAACUCGGGCCAAUAAUGAAUCCGGAUAAUUAAUAAGACGCCACCCCUGCUUCGCUAAUAACACAAUAUUAAACUGUGUAAAAUUACGAAAACCGAGACCUCCAUCUUCUUUAAGUAAACAAAUAUUCUUCCAAGUGCACCAAUGAAUACUUUUUUUAUUUUGUCUCUUUCGCCACCAAAAAUUGGCUAUAAUUUUAUCCAGAUCUGUACAAAGAGUCCUAGGGAGUAAAAAACAAGCCAUUGAGUAAUUUGGGAUAGCUUGGAGAACUGCUUUUAUAAACACUUCCUUACCACCUUGAGAGAGAAACCUGACACUCCAGUUGUCGAUUUUUUGCUUUAGCCUAUCCUUCAGAAUUUGAAAAGACGAUCUCUUUCUUCUCCCCACCAUACUAGGAAGCCCUAAAUACCUUUCCAAAUCAUUUGCUCUUCUGACUCCAAGGAUCUGUGAAACAGCCUCCCUUUCUCUAUCUUUUGUGUUUGUACUGAAGAAAACCAUCGAUUUAUCAAAAUUCACACAUUGCCCAGAACUCACCUCAUAAUCUUUCAAAAUCUGUUUUAAUGAAUGUGCACCCCCUUCAGUAGCUUCUGCAAAUAAAAUACAGUCAUCUGCAAACAGUAAGUGAGUUAUAGCUGGCCCAUGUCUACUUACUUUAACACCUUUAAGAACAUUAUCUCCUUCUGCAAGCCUCAUUAAACUUGAGAUUCCCUCCCCACAAAAGAGAAAUAAGAAAGGGCUUAGAGGAUCCCUUUGUUUGAGACCUCUAGUCGGAAGAAACGUUCGUCCAGUAUUUCCAUUACAAAUCACAGAAUACGAGACCGAAGAUACACACUUCAAUACUAACUCGACCCAUCCUGGAUCAAAGCCCAUUUUUUCCAUCACCCCUUCCACAAAGCCCCAUUCAACUCUAUCGUAAGCCUUACUCAUGUCCAAUUUAACAGCCAUGAAUCCUUUUAUUCCCAACCUCUUGAGUUUUAAGGUGUGAAGAAUUUCAUAAGCAAGGAGCACGUUAUCAGAAAUCAACCUUCUUGGAACAAAAGCACUCUGUGCUAAAUCGAUACAUUUAUGAAUUACCCCCCGAAGUCUAUUUGCAAUGACUUUAGCAAUUAGUUUAUAGAUCACAUUACAUAAGCUAAUAGGUCUAAACUGAGUCAUGCUUGAGGGAUUUUGGGUUUUUGGGAUGAGCACAAUGUUUGUUUUGUUAAUUGAGCGUAAUUCCAUACCUUCGUUUAAUCUUUGGAGGUAAAAUUUGGAGACGUCAUCACUAAUGAUUGGCCAGCAUUUCUGAUAAAACAAGGCUGGAAAACCAUCCUCACCUGGAGCUUUCGUCGGUCCUAUUUCUGAAAGGGCUUCCCAUAUCUCUUCCUUCGUGUACCUUGCCUUCAGUUUACUGUUAUCUUCCUCAGAAAUACAUCUAUCAAUACUUAAUAGAAUUUUCUCAUAGCAAUUUCGUCCUCCUGUUGAAAAUAACUUUAAAAAAUAUGAGCUAGCAAUCGCCUCCAUCUCCCUACAAUCCUCUGUCUCCCUUCCAUCAUCAAAUUUCAACCUCUGGAUCCUAUUAUACUUCCUUCUUUGAGACGCUUGUUUGUGAAAGAAAGCUGUAUUUCUGUCUCCAUAUUUCAGCCAGUUAAUUCGGGCCCUUUGCUCCCAGUAUCUUUCAUCCUUGUCAAUCUCAAAGUUCAGGUGGAGUUUUGUAUCAAUAAUCUCUGCCAGGUUCUCAUCACUUCUUUCUGAUUCAAGUAAAACUUUCAGUCUUGAAGUUAAAACCUCUUUAUUUAUCUUCCUACUUUGCUGGAUCAAUGCUCCCCACCUUUGUAACCCCCUUUUUAAGUUUUCCAGCAUGUAUAAAAAAUCUCCUGUGGAAUUUUCCCAAAUGCAUUUGAUUUCAUUGAAGAAUGUCUCCUCUAAAACCCACCAAGCUUCGAAUUUGAAAUUCUUUUCUGUCACCCUUUUAACUCUGAAAUUCAUGUCAAUAAGAAGUGGACAAUAAUCAGAAAAUGAAUGUGGGAGAUGUUGAACAAGAGUAUUAGGGAAUAAAUUAUGCCAUUGCUCCGUUGCCACUCCUCUAUCAAGUCUUUCUUGUAUGUUUGUUUCUAGCAGGUUACCCCUCUCCCAUGUGAACCACUUCCCUGAAUAACCCAAGUCCAUCAGAUUACAAUCAUUUAAAACCUUUCGAAAAGCUUCAAUCCUUCUUUCCUCUCUAGGUAUUCCACCUUUCUUCUCAAAACCGUAUAAGAUUUCAUUAAAAUCCCCACAAACCAUCCAUGGAAAAUCACCCUGAGUACCAAGUUGACGCAACAAAUUCCAAGAUUCUUCUCUUUCGCCUGAAUAAGGAGAUCCAUAGAAACCUGUAAGUCUCCACUUUCCCCCAUCUCCUUCGUCAACAAUCACAUCAAUAUGACGAUUUGAGAAGCUCUGAAGCACAAUAUUAACAUUCCCUUUCCAAGCAAGACAGAGUCCUCCUCUAGACCCCACCGACUCUACUUCAAUUCCACAUUGAAAACCACAACUUCCUCUUAUUUUUUCCAUCCUUUUCUUGUUUAUUUUAGUCUCUAUCAAAAAAACCACUUGGGGAUUUUGAAGCUUCAAAAAAUAUCGAAGCCGACGAACUGUUCGAGGAUUCCCCAAACCUCGAACAUUCCAACUUAAGAUUUUUAUUGCGACUGGCCGGCUUGCCUCUUGGCAGCCACCGAUAAAGAAUGAUUACCGUCAGGAAACCUCCUGAUUCUCCCUUCCGUAACACUCCUUUCUUCGAUAUCCUCCCUCACUCUUUUUUUCCCCUCCUCCCCAAUAAUCAACUCAUUCUCCAAAUCAUGUUUCAUAGCUGUUUGACUUUUAGCAAAUGGAGCUCUUUUCCUUUCUGGUUGAAAAGAGAGCCUGUUACCUUCCAGAUUAAAACCUAGAAUAGGAUCAACAAUUCCCUCGAAUUUUUUUACACAUCCCCAAACUCUGUUUCCCCUAAAUGCACCCCUUUUAAUCGUUCCCCCUUCAGAUCCUCCUUCCUCCCUUAACCAGACACUAUUCAUUGCUUGGGCUCUUCUGGACUGUGCUCGCAAGGACAAAUCCCAUCCCAAUUCAUUAACUUCAACUCCAGCCUCCAUUUUAGCUUCACAAAAGGAAUCAUUGUGGCUUAAACGGCCACAGUAGAAGCAAAAGAGAGUAAGUCUUUCGUAUUGAAAUCUAACAUAUGAGCAUUUGUUUUGGAACAUAACCUAUUUUUUCCUUUUUAGCGGCCGUCGAAUAUCAACUUGAACCCUAAUUCGCAUAAAGUUCAUAUUUUCUUUCCCCAAACAGGAGCCAUCAUAAUCUUGAAAAUUUCCAAUAAAAUUUCCUAAUUGCAUAGCCAAAUUCUCGGAAUAAAACCCAAUGGGAACACUAUGAACUUGAACCCAGAACGGUGAAGAAAUCAGUGGAACUCUCAGAGGGUCUUCCCCUCUUUUCAGCUUGUGCAGAAUCAGUAAAUGAUUAUUAAAUGUCCAAGGAGCACCAUUAAUAACCCUUUCCAUAUCUAUAAUAUGAAAAAAAUUUAAAUAAGUACCUCUUCUCUCCUAGAUCCCUAAUUUGAACACCUCUAACAGGAUGCCAUAAAUUUGCCAUGGUGCUUUUCAUUGCUGGAUAAUGUAUGAUACUGGCUGUAAGAAAACAACCAACCAGACUAAGAAAUUCUUCCUCACUCACCGGAUCUGAAUCGUUUUGUACUUGCAGGAUCUCUUCUUCUUCAUCAUCAAGGGAUAGACCAGCAAAAUCUGACUCCAUAGACGCAGGUUAAAAUAGUGGAAAGAGGAAAAAAAAUUCUGUUCAAAAUCUCUAAAUCAGGGUAGGUGCUGCUGAAAACGAGAGACUCAAGAAAAAACCAAAAACUUUGCCAGAGAGGCAGACAGAGACGUGCUAGGGUAGCAGACUAGUCUUGUGAAAGUAGUAAUUUUU
rnacentral:lncRNA from 1 species